CUUGUGGAAUCCUUCACCAAAAUAUAUAUAUUGCAGACCAUGCAAAAUAUGCGCUAAUUCACGUCUGAAAGGAAACGUCAGAUUAUGGAAUUACUACCAGCGGCGCGGAUGCGAAUAGCUUUCUCCCCGUGUUUAUCGUUAUAUAAGUUGAAUGAGGUCGAGUGGGGGGCUUUGAGUCCAAAGGCGCCUCGGUUCCGCUGCUGCAUCUGUGUUUAAUCAAGCUCUGGGCCGCGGCCCCACAGUGUUAGGUGACAGAUGACCCGCACAACCAGUGCGCACAAGAUAAUGGAAAAAACUAUAUACCCGGAAGGGUUCAACCAAUGCCAGUGUUUCCUGCCACAGGAGAUGCUUACCAGGGCUGUGUGCUCGAUGACUUGACGAUUUUAUCAGCACAUCUACAGAUUCCCACAUUCAUCAGUUUCCUAGUCCAAACACAAUGGUUGCCAACUGACAACUGGCUGGGGACUACAGCUG
ensembl:lncRNA